rnacentral:misc_RNA from 1 species
UCUCCGUUGGUGAACCAGCGGAGGGAUCAUUACUGAGUGUAAAAACUCCCAAACCCCUGUGAACAUACCAUCUGUUGCUUCGGCGGGAUCGCCCCGGGCGCCUUUGCGUGCCCCGGAUCCAGGCGCCCGCCGGAGGACUCCAAACUCUUGUUUUAUAUGUGGCAUUAUCUGAGUGGCUUAUAGCAAAUAAAUCAAAACUUUCAACAAUGGAUCUCUUGGUUCUG